UGCUAAAAUAAAAUUAAUUUGAAUAGAGAUGAAGAAGUAUAAAGGGUAUUUGCAGUGUGUAGGUGUGGUGAGAGGGUACCACACCUGACUCACCCUUCUCCAACUGUCUCAUCUUAAAGCCCAGCUGAGGACUUGAGGCUCCACAGGCUGUGGCUACCUAGAAACAUCCAAUGAAACCACAAGGCAGACAGGGUGGCUCUGGAGGACAGGGGAGGACACAGAGCCGUUGGCUUCUUCAGUGUCUGGCCUGUAUCUAACUCAUGCUGGGAGGCAUUAUCAGUCAUUAGUAUGGGUUGGGUUUUCUGCGGUAAUGGUGAGCUCAGGCCUGGAUUUGCUCCAGUUCCUAGGAAACCAGUAUCUCAGCUAGCCCUGAAGAUUAUGGACCACUGAAAUGAAAGAGAAAGAGCAAGAGGGAACGCCCUCACUUCCUGGCUCCUGGUUUGGAACAGAAGUGUCCCUGGAAGCACCUGAGACUGAAGAGCCCUCCAAACAGGGUCUCUGCAUUACUUCCCUCUUUCCAGAGCUUCCACAGCUAUGGUUUUCCAGUUAAGUUCCAACAACCAAGAAAAGAUUUUUAAUAUAUGCAGUAAAGUAAACAUGGUCUACCUUAUUGAUCAUCUCAGCCAAGAACAGUAUUCAGCAGGAAAAUCAUAUUAAAGAAGAAAGGUCUCCAAGAUGUGAGGUCAACAAGGCAAUCCUUCUCCCAUGCCAGUGCUUCCAGGGGGAGCCAUGUUUCUUGAAGUGGCUUCAGUUUCUAGUGGCUGAGACCCUGACCUCUCUUGACCCUUGUCAUAUUGGAAGCCUUGGAAUAGCCUCUGAAAAUACACAAACAGAUAUGCAAAGAAA